rnacentral:rRNA from 1 species
AUUGAACGCUGGCGGCAGGCCUAACACAUGCAAGUCGAGCGAGCGGCGGACGGGUGAGUAAUGUAUGGGGAACUGCCCGAUGGAGGGGGAUAACUACUGGAAACGGUUGCUAAUACCGCAUACUGUCGGAUGUGCCCAGAUGGGAUUAGCUAGUAGGUGGGGUAACGGCUUACCUAGGCGACGAUCCCUAGCUGGUCUGAGAGGAUGAUCAGCCACACUGGGACUGAGACACGGCCCAGACGCCUACGGGAGGCAGCAGUGGGGAAUAUUGCACAAUGGGCGCAAGCCUGAUGCAGCCAUGCCGCGUGUAUGAAGAAGGCCUUAGGGUUGUAAAGUACUUUCAGUGGGGAGGCGUUACCGACAGAAGAAGCACCGGCUAACUCCGUGCCAGCAGCCGCGGUAAUAC